CUGACGCCCAGGCCUGAGUAGUUGCCUCCGAGCCCAUCGAUGCUAUUGGUCGAUCUUCGAGUAGAGGAUGAUCUUGGGAUCCUGUAGGUCUUUUGUUCCAGUCCAGAUGGGAUUGCCCAGUGAAAUAUUGAACAUCCACCAAAAUUCAGUAAAUAAUGAAAACUCGUUAAGUAGCCAUUUGAAGAAGUUAUUGUUCUCUUCUGGACUGUGAACAGACAGUAAUGGACAGACUGACUGUAUAACACCGAGUCUAUCU